UCCAGACUCCUACGGGAGGCAGCAGUGGGGAAUAUUGGGCAAUGGGCGCAAGCCUGACCCAGCAACGCCGCGUGAAGGAAGAAGGCUUUCGGGUUGUAAACUUCUUUUCUGAGGGACGAUAGUGACGGUACCUCAGGAAUAAGCCACGGCUAACUACGUGCCAGCAGCCGCGGUAAUACGUAGGUGGCAAGCGUUAUCCGGAUUUACUGGGUGUAAAGGGCGUGUAGGCGGGAUGGUAAGUCAGAUGUGAAAGCCCGGGGCUCAACCCCGGGACUGCAUUUGAAACUGCCGUGCUGGAGUGUCGGAGAGGCAAGUGGAAUUCCUAGUGUAGCGGUGAAAUGCGUAGAUAUUAGGAGGAACACCAGUGGCGAAGGCGGCUUGCUGGACGAUAACUGACGCUGAGGCUCGAAAGCGUGGGGAGCAAACAGGAUUAGAUACCCCUGUA
rnacentral:rRNA from 1 species